UGUCGUUUUGGUUUUUGUUUUUAGUUUAUUUGCAGUGAGUUACGUGUACAAAGAAAAAUAUUAAGAAAAUGGCGUAUGCUGUUGGAAACGUAAUUCUAGCAAUUACAUCUAUUGUUUUUGCGAUACGUAUUGGAUGUGGAGGUUCCUUCUUGCGUACUUGAACAAAGCAAGUCUGAAAAUAAAUGAAAAAAAAAUUGUUAAAUAUAAAAUAUUUUGUUUAUUAAAAUAAAAGUUAA